AGAAGAAAUGAGGCGAUGUUGCGGAGGUCCAGGCGGUUGGCCCGGUGGAGGUCCUGGAGGAGACGGUCCCGGCGGUGGAGGACGCCUGGGGGGUCCAGCGGUGGAGGUCCGAAGGUGGCUCUUGUUCAGACCAACCAGCUCCUCAUCCAUGGAAGGAUUGAAGGAGUCACUGGGGAUGAAGAUCACUGCUCAGGGGCUGACGACCACUCAUCUUUCCGGAGAAGCGUCCUCAUGGUGCAGGCGGUCAAACCUCCACCUCUUUGAAGAGACCAAGCAGUUUGAUGGUUCUUUAUACUCAAGACCUCGUCCCGGAGCAGAGGACGGACGUAAGGCCCGCAGCGCAGCCGACUAGAGUCUCCAUGUGGAACCGGUUCAAUUAAGUUGACCUCUCCUUCAGGCGACUUAAAGGGAGACCAGAUGUGCGGCAGCUGGGUGUCAUGGUGCAGAGACCCAACGCUGUACUGAACUACACCAGUGUGUCCUACUCCCAUAAACCCUGAGGAUCCCUGGAUGGCUACACCAGCACAUUAAUCCACACCCAACAUCAACACACAGUGCACACUCUAUAGAGCUCGUAAAUCCGCCCCUUGCGGCGGGACCUCGUGAGAUCGUAAGAUAUGACUGGGUUUCAAUGGAGAGAAAGUAAUUAUUUUCUCCAUUUUAUGUUGCACCACAUUUUGGGGGAAGAAUGUUUGAAUCAAUCUUUGUCAUUUAUGUCUGUACUCCAUAUCUGUAAUCCCAGCUGUUGUAUUUUAACACGGUAGCUGGGAACCCUCUUUAUAGGGAGCGACUAGAGGGACGAGGCUGGAAGCAAACCUGAGCCUGGAUCUUAACCUUCUUUCUAAACCUAAUGCCGCAAUUUAACCGCAAAUAAAGUGAGGCCUAAAGUAACUUGACUCGUACCUAAACUUGCUUGCCUAAACUUGCUUGUCUAAACUCGCUUGCAUAAAACCUGAACUCGCUUGCAUAAAACCUGAACUUGCUUGGCUAAACUCGCGUCGCUUGCCUAAUACCUGAACUUGCUUGGCUAAACUCGUGUGCCUAAUACCUGAACUCGCUUGCCUAAUACCUGAACUCGCUUGCAUAAAACCUGAACUCGCUUGCAUAAAACCUGAACUCGCUUAGCUUGACUCGCUUGCCUGUACUCGCUUGGCUAAACUCGCUUGCAUAAAACCUAAACUCGCUUAGCUUGACUCGCUUGCCUGUACUCGCUUGGCUAAACUCGCUUGCCUAAUACCUGAAGUCGCUUGCCUGAAGUCGCAUGCCUAAUACCUGAAGUCGCUUGCCUAAAACCUAAACUUGCUUGUCCAAACAUGUUACACAAAGUUAACCAUCCAUAAUCUUUAACCCAAACCAGACUUGUCCCUGGGUCGCUCCACUUUAAUUUAGAAGUUUCUUCUUUUACCUCAUCUGCGUUUUGAGUUUCAUUCUUUGAGGGCUUGAAGUGCUUUGGAGGAUAUUUGAACCUUUGUUUGCCGCAUCAAUAAACAUGCUUUAUCUUUA